UAUAUGUCUGUAUAUGGAUUUAAGGGAUGAUAACUUUAAGUUCCAUAAGCUGUUCUGAGCACAUGUCGCUGGUCGUCUGUGUGACAUCAUCAUCCUCUCUCUCUCCGUCACUCGCUGUCUAUCAGCUGCUCAUAUUGUUCGCAUUCUACUAAAAUAUUAGCAACACUACAGCAGAACCAGAAAACCAAAGACAUUAGAAAUUUGGUGUUGCUG